AUCGAACGCUGGCGGCAGGCUUAACACAUGCAAGUCGAGCGGGCAUCCUUGUGGUGUCCGCGGCAUACGGGGGAGUAACGCGUGUGAAGGUUCCCUUCGGGUCGGAAUAAGGGAGGUAAACUUGGGCUAAUACCGGAUACGUGCGAGAGCAGAAAGGGGUGUCUGCCGAAGGAUCGGCCCGCUUCUGAUUCGCUAGUUGGGGAGGUUAUGGCUCACCAAUGCGAGGGUAAACAGCUUGUCUGGGAGGAUGAACCGACACACUGGGAGUGAGACACGGUCCGGACUAUUACGGGAGGGAGCAGUGGCGAAUCCAGCCAAACCGGGGGUAUGAUGAUGCACCUCUGAUGGGUGAGCGAUGAAGGCUGUAGGGUUGUAAAGCUAUUUAAUACGGGACGAUAAUGACGGUACCGGCGGAAUAAGCCCCGGCUAACUUCGUG
rnacentral:rRNA from 1 species